GUCUCUCUCAAACCUCAUCUCUUCCGGAUCCCUAGCCAGCCGCCCCCAUUUCCAUCACCUUAAGCCGGCGACGCCCAACGCUGAUGACCACCAUAUUAACACCCUAGAGCCACCUGACCACCCUGAACUCGAAUCCGCUAUCGCCUUCCCUCGAAUCAUCUUCCAUCUUCUCGAAUCUUACAUUUGAAGAUAUGAGCCAAACAUGAACCUACCUCAACCAAGCCCAAAAUCAUACCAGACCACCCCCAGGCCUCCCUCGUUACCAAAACAAUGUUGGUUUGGUUCAAAUCAGACCAGAACCGUUUGAACCCCAAACCAUACCCCAAUAACCCUAGAAAUUCCAAAACAUAUGAUCUUUCCAAAUUGAAAGGGUUUUCGGUGUCCAAUCGACCUUAGCCAAAGUGUUCUCGGUUGAGAAUACUCGGUUAAGGUCCGUUUGACGUAAAAAAUGAUCAGGUCCGAGAUUGGUCCAAGUCCAUUUGAGUGCUGAUUUUCUUUUUAAGGUAUUCUUCUUCCUUUGUUCCAUUUGUAUUAAUAUC
rnacentral:lncRNA from 1 species